AUUUUUUUUUUUUUUUUCAUGAUGAAUCAGUAUAGUGAUUUUGGGAUUGGCUCAUCUGGAGUUCAGGUAUUGAAUACUUGAAGAAGUGGGAGCUUCAGUUUGAAGCAGCACUUCAGUACUAUAAUCAGUGUGUUUCGUUGUUUGAGACAGGGUUUCUCAUUGUAACCAGCCCUAGCUGUCCUGGACUCAGGGUAGACCAGGCUGGCCAUGAACUCACAGAGAUCUUCCUGCCUCUGCUUCCCAGUUGUUGGGAUUAAAGGUGUGCACUACCACACCCAGCUAAUUGGUUGUUUUUUUAAAGACAAUGUCGACUUUUAUUUUAGAAAUAUUAGUAACAUUAAAGGGAAGUUGUAGCUUUAUAACUAUAUGGACUAACCCAUUCAGUGACAUAAUCAUUCCUUCCUUCUCUACCUCCCACCUGGGAUCAGACUCAGGCCUUCACACCUGUCAGACAAGGACUGCACAUCACAUGUAUCCCUCACACCUGUCAGACAAGGAUUGCACUUCACAUGCAUCCCUCACACCUGUCAGACAAGGACUGCACAUCACCUGCAUCCCUCACACCUGUCAGACAAGGACUGCACAUCACCUGCAUCCCUCACACCUGUCAGACAAGGACUGCACAUCACAUGCAUCCCUCACACCUGUCAGACAAGGACUGCACAUCACAUGCAUCCCUGGUUCUUUUAUCUUUCUUCACAUCAUCUUUUGAGUUUUCAUUAGUCCAUGUAUGUCUUCUUCUUAAAGACCUAAUUUCACCUCAUAGGACCACAGUAAGUCCUUGUAUAGAAAUAACCUAAGUACUAUGUGUUUCUAUAACACUUGUACCUCUACAUAUUUGGAUGAUAAUUUCAAAAUGGAAGAUAAUGAUAAUAUCAAAAAUAACUUAAGGAAACAGUUCCCAUUGGCUCGCCAAGGAAGGCUUGCCUGAGGACUCAGGUUGGUUUUCAUUUGUUGGCAGGUAGAAAGAAACUAUAAUCAGUUCAUGGAAAGUAUAUUUCUGCAUAUCUGUUUAGGCAGAGAGAAAAUACUGACCCUGUCAUUGGAAUAAAAGGACGAGUUAAUGAGGGACACUUCUUUGUGGUCCCUAUGACAGUUUUAUCAUACACACACUCCUACCCCACACAAGAAGAAAGCCCAACCAAAAGCAAAACCAAUCAUUUUCUAAGAACAAAUUCGCUUGUGUGCUAACAGACUGAAAACCCAUCAAUUUAUUUUCUUUCUCAAAAAUCAAAAGCCAAAAGAAGUCAGCCUUUAAACAUUUGGACAUUUUUCUCUGAGCUACUGCUGUGCUAGGCAAACAUUGGCAUUAGCACUUCCAAAGAAGGCUGAAAACAAAAGAGAAGAUUUUCAAGCUUCCUUCCAAUUACUGUGCUAAUCAAUCACCAUUUAAAUUAAAACUCCUGAUAUAGCUGUCUCUUGUGAGACUAUGCCAGGGCCAAAAAGUGGGAGUGGGUAGGUAGGGGAGUGGGGUGGGGGGAGGGUAUGGGGGACUUUUUGGAUAGCAUUGGAAAUGUAAAUGAGGAAAAUACCUAAUUAAAAAUAUUUUUAAAAUUCCUUGUGUCUUGGGCAGGAGAUUGUCCAGGAAGACAGAGUAAAAUUGUGUCUGCCUUUUUUUUUUUUCCCCGAGACAGGGUUUCUCCAUAUAGCCCUGGCUAUCCUGGAACUCACUUUGUAGACCAGGAUGGCCUCGAACUCAGAAAUCCAUCUGCCUCUGCCUCCCAAGUGCUGGGAUUAAAGGCUUGUGCCACCACCGCCUGGCUGUGUCUGCCUCUUGCUUCCAGAAAGGCAAAAGAAGUGUACAGUGAAAUAGUCAGAUGAUAUUGUCACUAGUUAAAAAAAUAAACAGUUUGCUAAGAAAGUCAACCAAAUCCUGGUCGAUUAACAGUAUUUCUUGGGUUAGUGACAGUCCUAGUCUAGCAUUAGAUAUAUGUCCUGGCUUGGGAACUGAAUGGAGUAUAUGCUUGAAUCCUACACUGAUACGAAUAGAGAUAACAGGAUCUUGAGAUGGAAAAUGAGUUUUGUCAAUGGCGUUUUAUUUGAACCCCCCAUUACUCCAGUCAAAUCUAGAGCAACUUCAAAGAGUUUGUACAAUCUAAGGUGUUACUUAGCAUCCUCGUCAUCAUUGUGUAGGCAACAAAGAAAGAAUGUGGGGAAACUCACUUCACGUCUUGGACCUAAAUUACCACAGUAGCAAAUCAGAAAUUUACUUUGCUGCAUCUAUUGAGAGAACUGGAAAAGGAGUUUCUCCAAAUUUUAGAAAGCCAAAUAGGCCCUUCAGGUGAUGUUCCAUUCCCUUUUAGUUUCCAUGCCAAGUUGCAAAUUGGUUUUGUGAGAGAGGCAAAAUCUGAGUCUUUUUGUACACAGACAGCAAAAAGAGUUUUCAUGGUGAAGACAAAUUCAGAAUCAGAAUUUCAAAGAUAAAAUACAAUCAAAGAAGGGAUGGGAGCAGCUCUGUGCCUUUAAC
rnacentral:lncRNA from 1 species